rnacentral:rRNA from 1 species
ACAUACGACCAUAGCUUUUAGAAAACUCGGCAUCCCGUCCGCUCUGCCCUAGAUAAACUGAAAAGCGCCCGCCUAAUAAUCGGAUCGAUAACGAAUUAAUGACUAUGCAGGCAUUUGAUGUC